AUUAACAUAAAUGGAAAAUUAAUAAUUAUAGCACGGAUUACUCUUGAAUCCAGUAAUUAACGGUGAGAUAUUGCUAGCUAGCUAGCUCGCUUAAUUAUCUCUGGUCUCAAUUAAGCUCUGUGCGCUCUACUGCUUUUCUAGUUAGUUAAACUGAAUAUUUACUGUUUCUUUCUUCUAAUUGAAGCAAUUAAGUCACUAAAUAUAUAUAUAUAUUAAAAAAAAAGCAUCCAUUUCAGUCCCCAAUUUAAUGAUCUCAAAGCAUCUUUAACACUUUUGUAAUAACCUAAAAUGCCAAAAAUCAUCGAAGACUGCAGGCAUCCUACGGCAAUCCCUUUUGAAAUGUUCCAAUGCCUACCAAAAAGCCAAGAUUCUCGUUCCAUUAGCCAAAUAGAGCCUGUUGGUUAAAUCUUUACUGUUGUUUGGAGCCGUAGAGUAUUAAAACUCAAUGUGUUCGACUAACUUGUUUGUUAGCCUAUAGCUAGGUAGCUAGCCAACAGGGCCAUCUCAAUUGACUAGAACCAACAAGUCUUCGCUAAGAAAAAGGGUUCCCAAAUUCCAAACCAACAGCCCUUAACACAAGCAAUGACACAAAAAUCCUGAUAAUAAACAUGAACCUAGAUAAGAUCAAAAACCAAAAGGUUGCUGUUGAAAACUAAGGGCAAGACAAGAGAUAAGCACAGACACACAGACAAACAAAAACCAACCAAGGAUCCAUAUAACCAGGAAAGCAAAACAGAAAGACAGAUACACACACAGACAUGUGUAUAGACAAAGAUGAGGGCUAGAG